UACGGAGGUUGCGAGCGUUGUUCGGAAUUACUGGGCGUAAAGGGAGCGCAGGCGGCCGGAUAAGUCUAAAGUGAAAUCCCGGGGCUCAACCUCGGAAUUGCUUUGGAUACUGCUCGGCUUGAGUACGUGAGAGGUAGGCGGAAUUCCAGGUGUAGCGGUGAAAUGCGUAGAUAUCUGGAGGAACAUCGGUGGCGAAAGCGGCCUACUGGCACGAAACUGACGCUGAGGCUCGAAAGCGUGGGGAGCGAAC
rnacentral:rRNA from 1 species